CGAUUCGUACGCUUGCUGAGGACAGAUGAAGUGGAUAUGAGAGUCAAGCCCUCCAGCCGUGACGAUACUGUGCUCUCCCGCAACCACAUCUGUGCAGGAUCCAACGACCAGGCUAGAAUCAACUCCGUCCAUCACGUCCGGAUUUCCAGCUUUACCAAUACCAACAAUGAUGCCAUCUUUAAUACCAAUAUCUGCUUUGUAGAUGCCGGACCAAUCGACAAUCAAGGCAUUUGUGAUAACAGUGUCCAAGCUGUCCUUGUCUGAGCGUCCUCCAGCUUGACCCAUGCCUUCUCUUAG
rnacentral:sRNA from 1 species